AUGAGGAGUGCUAUUGGUGAGGUGUUCAUCGGGAUAGUACACAGGAAUUGUCAUUGGCAUAUAAUGAAAAAAGCACAGGAGAAGCUUAGGAAGCUGAUGGCUGACGAUGAGCCACUAAACAAUGCAUUCAAGGAUUGUGUUGACAACAGCCUGACUGUUGAGGAGUUUGAACACAAGUGGUGGGUGAUGAUGGGAGCGUAUGGCCAGACCGACAACGAGCAUUUCAAUUGGCUAUGGGAAAACAGGAAGUGUUGGGUCCCGGCAUACUAUAUGCAUGAUUUUUUCUGUUCUUGCAGACCACGGCAAGAAGAUAAGGUGAUGGCUAGUGUGUCAAAAGAGCACUUGGAAACAGUGUACAAAGAAACCGAAAUGUACUCGAUGAACCCGCUGGAGAUGCAGGUGCGGGGGUUGUACAUGCAUAACCUGUUUUGCAAGUUCCAGGUGGAGAUGAAGGUGAAAUCAGCCUAUAGAUGCGACACAUUGGAUGAUGGUACCUUCAAGGUCAGCUCAGUGCAGGGGAUAAUACCAAAAUAUGGGGACAGGGAUUACCAUGUGCAAGCAAACAUGGAUUAA
rnacentral:rRNA from 1 species